GAACGGCUCAUCAUCACCACGACCCUGCUCGCGACGCCUCCGUCGCGUCGUGGCCGUCGUCGCCUGUAGGCCGUCGCCGCUGCACCCGGGGCUCUCCGCAGCUGUCUUCGCGGGCUUACUAUCGCCAGUAGCCACCGGGGCAGUUUCUUGUCCCUAAAGCUAAGUCUUUCUUACUUAGCUAAUUUAUGACCUCUUUUAGACGAUUUAGCAUUAGGCAGGUUAUGGUGAUUCGAUUCUUGUUCUAGAGCAUCUACGUUCCUGAGCUUUUGUCCCUAAGUUCUCAAACUUGGCUAUCUACUGUGUGUUACAUGAUGCUAGUAUGGUUUGGAGGAUUUACCUCUUGUGAUUGCUGAGUGAGGCUGCUCUUACUCUUGCUCGAUUCCCUCUUCUCUGUCUUGGUUCUUCCUCCCUCCCUUUAGCUUGUUAUCCACUGAAUGAGAAAGUUGAAGUAUAGGGGAGUGGAACGAGGGGGAGAGCAUGUAUAUAUGCUUGGUUUGUAACUGAAAGCUGCACAUAGCUGAGUGUUGGCUGGCAAAGGGCUCCACAGAUUGUGCAUACUCUGAGUCCCUGAUUCCUCUUUUCUAACAGAUUCUGAUGGCGUUUCAUGGUAGUGGCUGUACUCUGCAGGGAUUUGCAGGGGUGUACUCGUGCAUUUAAUGGCAUUGUGGGGGCUGAUUCCCGGACUAUAACAGGUUCGGGUGGGGGAAACAAGGGCUGCUAUCUGCAGCUUUGCAGAGUAUUUGCUGGAGGGGAGCCUGCUGGCUGGAGUUUGCCUCUUUUGGGCCAACUCUCACUCACAUUUCUGAAAGGAACCGAGGCUGUUCUUCCUCGUGGUCUUGUCCUCUCGGCUCGUUCGAAAAUCUGGGGCCGAGACGGCCCUUGACGAAGGCCGAAGUAGCCCUUAGGGAUUUCUAAAUGUAAAAGUGUAGCUCGACUUUUAUUUUCGUCGUCAAAGAUUGUAACUUUAGUUUGAGAUUCUGAAAACUGUAAUUUGUACCCUUUCUCAAGAAAUAAAAAUACUAUUUCAUUCGUUAAA